rnacentral:rRNA from 1 species
GAUGAACGCUGGCGGCGUGCCUAAUACAUGCCAGUCGAGCGAACAGACGAGGAGCUUGCUCCUCUGACGUUAGCGGCGGACGGGUGAGUAACACGUGGAUAACCUACCUAUAAGACUGGGAUAACUUCGGGAAACCGGAGCUAAUACCGGAUAAUAUAUUGAACCGCAUGGUUCAAUAGUGAAAGACGGUUUUGCUGUCACUUAUAGAUGGAUCCGUGCCGCAUUAGCUAGUUGGUAAGGUAACGGCUUACCAAGGCAACGAUGCGUAGCCGACCUGAGAGGGUGAUCGGCCACACUGGAACUGAGACACGGUCCAGACUCCUACGGGAGGCAGCAGUAGGGAAUCUUCCGCAAUGGGCGAAAGCUUGACGGAGCAACGCCGCGUGAGUGAUGAAGGUCUUCGGAUCGUAAAACUCUGUUAUUAGGGAAGAACAAAUGUGUAAGUAACUAUGCACGUCUUGACGGUACCUAAUCAGAAAGCCACGGCUAACUACGUG